CCUACGGGAGGCAGCAGUAGGGAAUAUUGCUCAAUGGGCGAAAGCCUGAAGCAGCAACGCCGCGUGGAGGAAGAAGGCUUUCGGAUUGUAAACUCCUUUUGUUAGAGAAGAUAAUGACGGUAUGUAACGAAGAAGCACAGGCCAACUCCGUUCCAGCCGCCGCGGUUAUACGGAGGGGGCAAGCGUUACUCGGAAUGUCUGGGCGUAAAGGGCGCGUAGGCGGGAUAGCAAGUCAGUUGUGAAAUCCUAUGGCUUAACCAUAAAACUGCAGUUGAAACUGUUAUUCUUGAGUAUGGGAGAGGUAGGUGGAAUUCUGGGUGUAGCGGUGAAAUGCGUAGAGAUCAGGAGGAAUACUCAUUGCGAAGGCGGCCUGCCGGAACAUAACUGACGCUGAGGCGCGAAAGCGUGGGGAGCAAACAGGAUUAGAUACCCGUGUAGUC
rnacentral:rRNA from 1 species